UGAGUAUUCCAGAUUGCAUAGCUUUGUGCUACUAUUGCUAUACGGUCUGGGACACUUUUA
rnacentral:pre_miRNA from 1 species